GAUGAAGAACGCAGUGAAAUGCGAUAAGUAAUGCGAAUUGCAGAAUUUCCGUGAGUCAUCGAAUCUUUGAACGCACAUUGCGCCCCCUGGUAUUCCGGGGGGCAUGCCUGUCCGAGCGUCAUUACAACCCUCAAGCUCAGCUUGGUAUUGGGCCCCGCCGACCCGGCGGGCCCUAAAGUCAGUGGCGGUGCCGUCCGGCUCCGAGCGUAGUAAUUCUUCUCGCUCUGGAGGUCCGGUCGUGUGCUCGCCAGCAACCCCCAAUUUUUUUCAGGUUGACCUCGGAUCAGGUAGGGAUACCCGCUGAACUUAAGCAUAUCAAUAAGCGGAGGA
rnacentral:misc_RNA from 1 species